rnacentral:rRNA from 1 species
CAAAAGCUUGGUCCUGACUUUACUGUCAGCUAUGAUUAAAUUUAUACAUGCCAGUAUCUGCGUCCCUGUGAGAAUGCCCUACCUGCCCCCGACCGGGAAAGAGGAGCUGAUAUCAGGCAUAACUCUGUGUUAACCCACGACGUCUUGCUAAGCCACACCCCCAAGGGAAUCCAGCAGUAAUAAACAUUAAGCGAUAAGUGUAAACUUGACUUAGUUAAUAUCAAGAGGGCCGGUUAAACUCGUGCCAGCCACCGCGGUUAUACGAGAGGCCCAAGUUGACGAAAAUCGGCGUAAAGCGUGGUUAAUGAGACCAUAACUAAAGCCGAACGCCCUCAAGGCUGUUAUACGCCCCCGAAGACAGGAAGUCCCGUCACGAAAGUAGCUUUAACCAUCAUGAACCCACGAGAGCUAGGGAACAAACUGGGAUUAGAUACCCCACUAUG